rnacentral:ncRNA from 1 species
CCGAUAAUGGCAUACCUGUCGAAAGGCAGGGACGCAAAGCCAUAGGGCCUUCCUCCAAGCGAGAUGGCAGCCUGGCCGCCGA